GCAAGUCGAGCGGUAGAGAGGUGCUUGCACCUCUUGAGAGCGGCGGACGGGUGAGUAAAGCCUAGGAAUCUGCCUGGUAGUGGGGGAUAACGCUCGGAAACGGACGCUAAUACCGCAUACGUCCUACGGGAGAAAGCAGGGGACCUUCGGGCCUUGCGCUAUCAGAUGAGCCUAGGUCGGAUUAGCUAGUUGGUGAGGUAAUGGCUCACCAAGGCGACGAUCCGUAACUGGUCUGAGAGGAUGAUCAGUCACACUGGAACUGAGACACGGUCCAGACUCCUACGGGAGGCAGCAGUGGGGAAUAUUGGACAAUGGGCGAAAGCCUGAUCCAGCCAUGCCGCGUGUGUGAAGAAGGUCUUCGGAUUGUAAAGCACUUUAAGUUGGGAGGAAGGGCAUUAACCUAAUACGUUAGUGUUUUGACGUUACCGACAGAAUAAGCACCGGCUAACUCUGUGCCAGCAGCCGCGGUAAUACAGAGGGUGCAAGCGUUAAUCGGAAUUACUGGGCGUAAAGCGCGCGUAGGUGGUUCGUUAAGUUGGAUGUGAAAUCCCCGGGCUCAACCUGGGAACUGCAUUCAAAACUGUCGAGCUAGAGUAUGGUAGA
rnacentral:rRNA from 1 species